ensembl:lncRNA
ACAAGAAACCAAGUGCCAAGAAUUCUGUGGUCAUGGAAGAAAUGUGCAGCUGCUCCUGCUGGAGCCUCCGCAGCCCCCUGCCCGCAAGCGUGCUCGCUUCCUUCCAGAAAGGUUUCUCAAUCUGGAGAAUAAUUGGUUUUUUUGUUCCUCAAAUUAAUCCCAACUAUUUUUAAAUCAGUUUCCAUCUCUGCUCCCUGCUGCUAACUCGGCUGCGGCAUCAGCCAGAAAGCCUCCAGCUGCAGGGAGCGGGGCCUGGGGAGCUGCCUGGCCCUGCACAAGGUGCUGGUGCCAAGCUGUGAUCUUAGUGGUCAUUUCCAACCAUAAUUAUUCCACGUUUCUAUGAUUUACAAAGCCCAGAGGGGCUCAGUAACUGCCCCCCUGCACGUAGAAGACACCCAGACCCCAGCAGCCAUACCAGCAUGAACUUGGCUAUGUGGCACCCUGCUGAUCCCUGCGAUGCAUCCAGUUCCUCGUGGCACACUGCGAGGGCUGAGAGGCAUAAGUUCCCCACAGACAGAGCGGCAUUGCUGUGCCUUUUUGCCUUAUCACCCGCCCUCUGAGGCUGAUUUCUACCACCAGCAGUGCUUACCUUGGUCUGAAGAUCUUUCCUUCUCUCUGGUUCUGGACACCACCGAGCAAUCACUGCAGCUAUUGCUGACAACACAUCUUGUGUAUUUUCACAGCAACGUGAUGACUCCUCUGUUGUUUCUGCACAGUAUGUAGUAACAAAACCAAUCAGGAAUUUACUGUGUUCACAAUGACCUCUAUUUAAACCUGUUCUUACUGUUUGCUGCAUCAGACUCUCAUCCUUCUCCUGCCCAUAACAUCCAUUACCACACCACAUGAACACUGUGCUGGAAUAAACCUGAGCUGCCUUCCUGACCAUCCUGGAACCAGCAGUAAACAAUGGGCCACCUGGGCCAGAUGUGUGCACUCCCUUUACCUGGAAGUUACCCAGACAAAAUUCAAGUAGAAGCCUGGUUAAGUCUUGCACACAUCCUCUGCACGUGCCUUGAAUACCAAUAUCUGCCCGGCAGGUCUCAGGUUUCCCUCGCUGACCGUGGAAGUCACAUAUGUGAAGGCAGAAAUGCUUCAGGGAGAACUGCAGAAGUGGGAGGACAGAGAAACCUUCUGGCCCUGCAGGAUGAAAAUAAUCCAUUCUGACUGCUGGCAAAGAAACCCAAACCUGCCUUGCUUACCUGCAAAGCCAUUUCCUGGCAGUAUCGCAUUGAAAACUGCAAGCAGGAGCAAAGGGUCCUACGGGUUUCCUUUCCUAAAACAACCAAAUGAAUUCAAUACGGCGCCUCUUCCCCAAAGCCCCCAGAUCAAGUGCUCCUGCUGCAAACACCUCUUCUUCCCUUGUGGCAUCCCCUCCCGCAUGCCACAACCCGGCUGCUCCAUCACACAGCCUGAGUGAAGCCUUACACCACCUGGUGGCUAAAAAGAAUUAAAUAAAAAAGAAAUUGGAGCACGAGGAAACUGUCAUACAAAUCUCAGAUCACCUGCUGGAAAUACAGUACUCACAGGUAAGUGCUGACUGCUAGGGAAACUUUCAACGGAAGUAUUAACUUCUAUAUAGGUCCGUGUAUACCUCUGAUUUUAAGUCUGGCAGCAAGGGGGGGGGGGGUGUUUCCACUGCAGCAUGAGUUCCCAGCCAGCACAACGUGUCACCGAGGCCGUCCAUCAGCUCUGCCUGCAGCCGUCUCUUGGAGGAGGAGGAGGAGGUGGUGCGGCUGCCUCUGCCUGUGCUCAGCUCCCGGGAAACUGCCUGGAACACCAAAGAGGAUUUCCCAUAGCUCACCAGUGAAAAGCAUCCCAACACCGAGAGCUGAUCGUGCUGAUUAAACCUCUGCUCACUGGCUUGUUCUGGAUUCCUGUGCCCACAGCCCUCACCCUGCAAAGACAGGACCACUUCCAACACGUGAGACAGACACCAGCUAAAUCAGUGGAGGCAGCUCAGAAAUCACAGACCGUUAGUAAUGCAUUGAUGGCUUUGAAGGAUCACUGCAUGAAACAGCACAGACCCUGUGGAGCAGUGCCCGUCUCCACAAAUGCUUGCUUUACUCAUCUUUCUGCUAGAUAGACUGUUUUGAUGCAGCAGGCAGACCAAUUAAACUGGACUUAACCCUGUCAGACAUCCCUUAGGCCAGCCAUAAACUUAGAAUGAUAGUCACAGAAUGGUAUGGGUUGGGAAGGAUCUCAAAGACCACCUAGUUCCACCCCUUGCUGUGAGCAAAACCCACAAGACAAGAAACCACAAGACAACCACGAAAUCAGGCACCAGACCCAGCUGCCCAGGGCCCCAUCCAACCUGGCCUUGAGCACCUGCAGGGAUGGGGUAGGUUAGCUAUGUGCUAAGCUUGACUGCGGCUUUCUUGGCCCCUGAGUAAAUGCCAGCAAUGCCCCUCUCAGAGCUAGAGCCCCAAACGGAGGAGUUUCCCUCCUGCAGCAUCCCUGCCGGGUCUCUGCAAGGCAGGGCUGGUUGCUGAGCAGGGACAGGACGGGCCCCAUGGCAGCCAGGACCCCUCGUUACGUGAUGCAGCUUUUGUUUAACUCUCAUUUCUCAGUAUUUCCGAUCUGAUUUCUAGUCCAGGCUUGCCUCUGCCACCCCUCUCUGUUAUUGUUCAGGGAUCUGUGAUCCAGAGAGCAGUCUGGAUAAAGUAACCACCGCAUCGAGUGCCUCCAGGCAAGGGCUACGUGAAGGUUAAAGAGAUAAGAGAGACUCCCAGUCCGUAACUGCAGAGAGAUAGCUGAUAAGAGUCUCACCUGUGCUCUCCUUUCGCAGGAGGGGUUGGAAAAGGAGCCCCAAAUCCCACGUAACCACUGCUUCAGGGAGAGAACACCCGUGGAGCACACAAAGCACAGCAGAGAGCGGGGGGCAGCCAGCAGCAUCCCUGCAGGAGCACGCAGCAGUGGCUUCUUGGGAGCAAAUCAGUUUGACGUUAGCAUUCACCAGCGGUGUAACCAGCAGUACUGUGGGGUGGCUGACGAGGAGGCAAACGUGCAGCCUUAUCUGCUUUUCAGCACCUUCGAUGACUGAGGAAUAGACAGGUUGCUCCAGAAGUAACGCCUCCUCAUUAUUUAUUAUGGAAACUACAACAAAGAGCACAACAACACUGUUUGAUAGAGCAAAUUCUCAGCUACAGAAUGCUAUGUUUUUUUUUUUUUUCCUGCAUAGUUACCACCUCUAGCUGUGCAUUUUCACCAGCAUGGGAGAACUCAAUGACACGGCUUUGCUUCACACACACUUGCACGCCAGGCGCCAUUCCGUCAGGCUUCCUUCCAUCUCUUACGCAGCAGCAAAAUGUAAUGGGAUGCUGGUGGGAAGGUUCAAUCUCUACUGCCAUCCCACCAACAUCACCUUGGACGUCCACCCGCGUGCCUUGGGCUGGGCCCUGCCCAUCAGAGCCGAAGCACAGCACGAUGGCUGUGCAGGCCCGUGUCCCCGGGUGAGGUUCUCA